GAUGAACGCUGGCGGCGUGCCUAAUACAUGCAAGUCGAGCGAACAGACGAGGAGCUUGCUCCUCUGACGUUAGCGGCGGACGGGUGAGUAACACGUGGAUAACCUACCUAUAAGACUGGGAUAACUUCGGGAAACCGGAGCUAAUACCGGAUAAUAUAUUGAACCGCAUGGUUCAAUAGUGAAAGACGGUUUUGCUGUCACUUAUAGAUGGAUCCGCGCCGCAUUAGCUAGUUGGUAAGGUAACGGCUUACCAAGGCAACGAUGCGUAGCCGACCUGAGAGGGUGAUAGGCCACACUGGAACUGAGACACGGUCCAGACUCCUAAGGGAGGCAGCAGUAGGGAAUCUUCCGCAAUGGGCGAAAGCUUGACGGAGCAACGCCGCGUGAGUGAUGAAGGUCUUCGGAUCGUAAAACUCUGUUAUUAGGGAAGAACAAAUGUGUAAGUAACUAUGCACGUCUUGACGGUACCUAAUCAGAAAGCCACGGCUAACUACGUG
rnacentral:rRNA from 1 species